rnacentral:rRNA from 1 species
UGGGGAAUAUUGCGCAAUGGACGAAAGUCUGACGCAGCGACGCCGCGUGUGGGAUGAAGCUCUUCGGGGUGUAAACCACUGUUGCCCGGGACGAAUUUCUGGUUUGGACCAGAUUGACGGUACCGGGUGAGGAAGCACCGGCUAACUCUGUGCCAGCAGCCGCGGUAAUACAGAGGGUGCGAGCGUUGUCCGGAAUCACUGGGCGUAAAGGGCGCGUAGGUGGCUCGUUAAGCGUGUGGUGAAAGCCUGGGGCUCAACCCCAGGUCUGCCGUGCGAACUGGCGAGCUUGAGCAGAGUAGAGGCGGGUGGAAUUUCGGGUGUAGCGGUGGAAUGCGUAGAUAUCCGAAAGAACACCGGUGGCGAAGGCGGCCCGCUGGGCUCUUGCUGACACUGAUGCGCGACAGCGUGGGGAGCAAACAG